rnacentral:tRNA from 2 species
CGGCGUGUAGCUCAGCCAGUCAGAGCACCGGGCUUCCUACCCGGAGGGCGCAGGGGCAGGUCCUGCCACGCCGGCUA